AUGCUGGCCUUAGACUUGCAAUCCUCUUCCCGCAGGCUCCUGAGUAGCUGAGAUGACAAGCAUGUGCCAUCAUACCUGACUUUGGGUUGUUUCUUUAUGAUGUAUUUCCUAUUCGUUCACAAAUUUACUAUUUGUAUUCAUGUGUUAUGAGGAAAUGAAAGAUCAGAACAAGAUUAUCACAUUUGUCCUCACAACAUUAUGGCUAGGAUUUCUCCAGUGAUGAUUCCAAGUUAGAAUACAACGUAGAUGCUGCAAAUGGCAUUGUUAUGGAAGGAUACCUGUUCAAACGAGCCAGCAAUGCCUUCAAAACUUGGAACAGGAAAAAGCCCGAUCAUAUCAGGUACCAAAUGGCUUCCUUCCUUUUACCCUCAUCUUACUCCAGUUUCUUCUUUGGCACGAGAAAGCUCAUCAUUAACCUGCAUUUCAGUAGGAUUACUUGCAAUGGAUAAAAAGUCUCUCUAUAUUUUAAAUUGGGAAGAAAAUAUAAGCAUUUUAU